rnacentral:lncRNA from 1 species
GGAAAAGAUCAGUGUGAUCUCCUGGCUCCUCUCUGGCAGCCCAGUAUUUGUGAAGGAUUUUUAAAAAAAGCAGUGUCUGGAAGAAAAGCCUUGGAGAGAAUUAUCCACAAUUUCCUAACAGGAGAAGGUGUUGUGAUUUGCUGUGACUUUUGAGAGUGACCAAGAUAUUGUGAUAGAAGAUAAUAAAAUAUUCUAAUAAAAUAUUAG